AAUAUAAUGUGUUGUGAAUGUUCCAUGCUCUGUCCUUGUGGAUGUCUCCUUCCUAUUUCUAGGUCUGUGGGAAUUCUGGGAAGGUGGUAGAGAAGCAUCAGGUGUUAUAGGAGAAAAGGCCUUCAAUUGUCUUAAGGAUGGUGUGAGAAGCUUACUCCUCCUGAAUCCCAGCCAGGACCAACUAGACAUUUGGGUUCAUGCUCUUUCCAGCCCACCGUGUUGCUUCUCUCGUUCCAUAAAGCCAUCACUGCAAUGCUCACGGUUGAAGAUGGACGGUGUGUUAAAGAAGUGGAUGGCAUAUAGAAGCAUGGAUUCUGGACAUGGCUGUGCCACUAAGUACAGAAGUAACAUGAGUGAGAAUAUAGAUCAGCACCCCCUUUCUAAAGAAGAGGAAACACACUUCACAUAA
rnacentral:lncRNA from 1 species